CAGUAGCCGCGGUAAUACGUAGGGUGCGAGCGUUAAUCGGAAUUACUGGGCGUAAAGCGUGCGCAGGCGGUUGUGUAAGACAGGUGUGAAAUCCCCGGGCUUAACCUGGGAACUGCGCUUGUGACUGCACAGCUAGAGUAUGGCAGAGGGGGAUGGAAUUCCGCGUGUAGCAGUGAAAUGCGUAGAUAUGCGGAGGAACACCGAUGGCGAAGGCAAUCCCCUGGGCCUGCACUGACGCUCAUGCACGAAAGCGUGGGGAGCAAACAGGAUUAGAUACCCGCGUAGUCCCUGUCUCUUAUAC
rnacentral:rRNA from 1 species